CAGAUAUUUAACUUUAAUAAUAUCUGUUGUUUUUUUAUGCAGGUGAUGAUGUGAAGGAAAAAAAAGCCCGACCCUUCAAUUGAUCUUGCAGCCGCCAAGAGACUCAGAAUAUUAGGCAGAGAGUGUGUGGCUGUGGAAGAUAGUGUUAUUGAGCUACAGGUAUUUCAAAGGUUCUGAGCUUCUUGUUAAUUUACAAGAUUAUGACUAUUCUUUGGACUUGUGGAGUCUUGGUUGUAUGUUUCCUGGAAUGAUAUUUCGUAAGAAGCCAUUUUUUUUGGACGUGAUAACUAUGAUAAGCUAGUGAAAAUAGCAAAGGAGGCUUGCAACAACACUAGAGUAAUUGGUUCGUGAAGUGGAUCGAGGAAGAUUCCUGCAAAGUUUAUCUUGAAUUAGAGCAAAAUAACUAACUUGUAAAACUCAAGUAUCUUGUAAACUUUG